rnacentral:rRNA from 1 species
AGUGAACGCUGGCGGUGGCCUAACACAUGCAAGUCGAACGGCAGCACAGUAAGAGCUUGCUCUUACGGGUGGCGAGUGGCGGACGGGUGAGGAAUACAUCGGAAUCUACUUUUUCGUGGGGGAUAACGUAGGGAAACUUACGCUAAUACCGCAUACGACCUACGGGUGAAAGCAGGGGAUCUUCGGACCUUGCGCGAUUGAAUGAGCCGAUGUCGGAUUAGCUAGUUGGCGGGGUAAAGGCCCACCAAGGCGACGAUCCGUAGCUGGUCUGAGAGGAUGAUCAGCCACACUGGAACUGAGACACGGUCCAGACUCCUACGGGAGGCAGCAGUGGGGAAUAUUGGACAAUGGGCGCAAGCCUGAUCCAGCCAUACCGCGUGGGUGAAGAAGGCCUUCGGGUUGUAAAGCCCUUUUGUUGGGAAAGAAAAGCAGCAGGUUAAUACCCCGCUGUUCUGACGGUACCCAAAGAAUAAGCACCGGCUAACUUCGUG